UGCUUACUGGACUGUCUAACUUAUUAUUUUUUAUUUUAUUAUUUUUAUAGAUAUUGAGGAAUUAAGAUCAUACAAAAUAUGAAUGGAAGAGUGAUUAGAAGAAGAGUCUCUAUACUUUUAUUUUAGAUUGAAAGUCUUAUUGAAUUUGAUGUAAGACUUAUUGAACAUUGUUGAAUUUAUUGAGAUAUUAAAGUUGAAAUUUAGAUUUUUAUAUUUUGAAUUUAAAUUAUUGAUUAAUUAUUUUAUUAUUAUUUUAUGAUAUCAUAAUAAGAUGCCUUGCAUGCUUGUGGAGAGAGUUUCUUAUGAGUAUGUGACGGUUGCCAUGACCUUUGGCUCACAAUCUCGGAUCGGGGGUGUGACAAAUAAAGUACUAUCAGAGCAUAAGUGGAUAAAUUAUGAAACAUAAAAUUAGAUAUAGAAUGAGUGUAAGUGGAUAAACAUUAGGGUCAUUAUGGUGUAGAUCUAUGAUGAUUGUAGUGUGAAAAAUCUUUAUGAUUUUUGAUUAAAUAUUAAGAUUAUAUAUAAAAAGACCACAAGAGAUUAUGACAUGUAAAGUUUAAAGUAUGAUGGACGAUCUAUGGAUCAUGAUAUAAUUAGUUAGAUUUUGAUAGAAAGUAAUUACAAAAAAAUUGACAUGAUAAUUUUAUUAUAUAUUAUGAUUUUUAAUUUCAUCAUUGAUUAUUCAAGUAAAUCGUAAGCUCAAAUUUGAUGCGAGAAUAAUACUAUGAUAUUACCCUUAAUUGAGAAGUUAACUAUUAUUGGGAAGAUAAAGAUUUAAUGAUAAAAUAUUAUUUCAGGAUGGACUAAGAAAAUCUUUUAUGAUACUUGAUUAGAAUAUUUAUCGAAAUUGAACUUGAUAUGUGGAUCAUGUAUAAAUUUGCAUAUUAGG
rnacentral:lncRNA from 1 species